rnacentral:rRNA from 1 species
GAUGAACGCUGGCGGCGUGCCUAAUACAUGCAAGUCGAGCGAACAGAUGAGGAGCUUGCUCCUCUGACGUUAGCGGCGGACGGGUGAGUAACACGUGGAUAACCUACCUAUAAGACUGGGAUAACUUCGGGAAACCGGAGCUAAUACCGGAUAAUAUAUUGAACCGCAUGGUUCAAUAGUGAAAGACGGUUUUGCUUUCACUUAUAGAUGGAUCCGCUCCGCAUUAGCUAGUUGGUAAGGUAACGGCUUACCAAGGCAACGAUGCGUAGCCGACCUGAGAGGGUGAUCGGCCACACUGGAACUGAGACACGGUCCAGACUCCUACGGGAGGCAGCAGUAGGGAAUCUUCCGCAAUGGGCGAAAGCCUGACGGAGCAACGCCGCGUGAGUGAUGAAGGUCUUCGGAUCGUAAAACUCUGUUAUUAGGGAAGAACAAAUGUGUAAGUAACUAUGCACGUCUUGACGGUACCUAAUCAGAAAGCCACGGCUAACUACGUG